rnacentral:misc_RNA from 1 species
ACCGUUCAAAAUGUUGAAAUAUCUUUAAAAAAUUCUAAAAGGACCACGAACCUUAUUAUAAAAUAGAAAAAGAACAAAAUUGAUAAGUUCUUUCCAGAACUAACACUAAAAUUAAAAGAAAAGUAAUUUUUAUGUUCUAUAACAAAUUACUUUAAAGUAUUAGUUGACUAGAGCUUUUUCAAGUUAACAGGCUUUGAAAUAUUGAAAAUGAAUUAAAGAAAAAUGAAACGGUGUAAAGAUUGUUCGAAAGAUCAUUUCUAAAUGGAAUAAAAUAAGCAAGUCUAAUCGCUCUCUGUGGUCGUAACGCAAAUUAUUCAUCAUGGCAGUAACCACGUGAAGAAAAAACAUGGGAAAUUCUUUCACGAAAAAGGAUUGCAGCCAGGGAAAUGAGGAAACUUCAUCAGAUAAUUCAACAUCAGAAUCUAAUCAGAAAGAAUGGACCAUGUUAGCUUCCGAUAGCGUAGAAACAUGGAAAUUUAGCAGUGUUUUGUAUGGUUUUGAACCAAGAAUUGAUUAUACUUCCGAUAUAAAGGGACGAUUGCAACCGUGGUGUACAUUUGGUAGAUAUUUUUCAGUAAAGUAUGAUUCAACAGAAAAGGUCUUGGAUAGACAUUAUAUGAAAAUUGUAAUCUCAGAAGGAUGUUUCCAUUCUACUCAAAUUCGCCUUCCACGAAGUUUUUAUUCCAGACUACAUUCAGUACCGGAACCGGCUUCCCAUUUUCUUAAACCUAUUCAAGUUGUGGGAUAUCGUGGAGGAGUAUGCAUUCUACAAGUGAACUGCAAAGACUAUUUUAUUGAAUUUCUAGUCAUACAUAUGAAGACUGGUACGGUUUUAGGGACUCAUAAAGAGAACAUUCAAGGUUAUAAACAUUACUUAUGCGACUGUCUUAUUAGUCCAGAUUUAUCUUCUUUCAUUCUCAAACCAAACGCUAUGUACGUCUUGAAUUUUGCGCGGGAUACAUUUAAUAGUUCUAUGAAAGUUGUAUCUUGCAAAGGAAAUCCUAUGCCUGUUAUUAGGGAGAAUUUGUUUAGUAAUGUUUCUGUGAGAGCUUUUAUAGCAUAUGAUCCAAGGUAUACUUGGAGAAGAAUUGCUAUUGGAAAUUAUUGCAAACACGGGAAGGACACUGUAAUCAUCUUUGAUUUGAAAUCUGAUAAAAUUAUACAAUCAAGCGAUCCUUAUUCUCACUAUCAAACUACGCACAAUAUAUCUUGGUCACCAGAUGGAGCUUACAUAUCAUCAAUGGUUCUAGGCAGAACUAUUAAAGAUGGGUUUUUUAAUUUUCCAAAAGUAUUGAUAUACGAAUCAACAGAUUUAGCAAUUAUUCAAUCAAUUAGGACUAAUUAUCUUUCCGAAGUGCCAACACUAUCACCGACUGGAAUUUUUCCAGUUUUCAAUAACACUGGAACAAUUAUAGCAAUUCCUUAUGGAGAACAUGGAACUUAUUUUCAACAAGUUGCAGGAGUAAAAGUUUAUAAAGCACCAAACGUUUUAGAUCUUCAAAGUUUGUGUCGAUUGUGUAUUAGACAAUAUUUUGAAACCUAUGACGUUGAUAGACUCCCUCUACCAAACAAAUUAAAAGACUAUUUGAAAUUUAAACCAUUUUGGGAAUAAUAGAAUAUUGAAUAAAUGAAUAAAUAACGGUAAAGAGAACACUUUUAACUGUCUUGAAUAAUAAAUCAUAAUAUCUUUA